UUGACGGGACCCGCACAAGCAGCGGAGCGUGUGGUUUAAUUCGUUGCUACACGAAGAACCUUACCUGGGUUUGACAUAUAGGUUGUAGGGAACUGAAAGGGACCGACCCUUCGGGGAGCCUAUACAGGUGUUGCAUGGCUGUCGUCAGCUCGUGUCGUGAGAUGUUCGGUUAAGUCCGCUAACGAGCGCAACCCUCGUCGUAUGUUAUAUGUGUCAUACGAGACUGCCGGUAAAAAGCCGGAGGAAGGUGAGGAUGAUGUCAAGUCAGCAUGACCUUUAUAUCCAGGGCUACACACACGCUACAAUGGUCUGUACAAUGGGUAGCCAAGCCGCGAGGCGGAGCCAAUCCUGAAAGCAGGCCUCAGUUCAGAUUGCAGUCUGCAACUCGACUGCACGAAGAUGGAGUUGCUAGUAACCGCAGGUCAGCUAUACUGCGGUGAAUACGUUCCCGGGGCUU
rnacentral:rRNA from 1 species